GGGGCUGUGGCUCAGUGGUAGAGCCUCCGUUUGGCAUGCAGAAGGCCACGGGUUCGAUCUCAGGCACCUCA
rnacentral:tRNA from 1 species